rnacentral:pre_miRNA from 1 species
UGUCUUUUUUUCUAGUCAAACUUUUUUAAGUUUGACCAAGUUUGUACAAAAUAUAGUAACAUUUCCAACACAAAACAAACAUAUUAUUAAAAUAUAUUCAAUGUUAAAUUUAAUGAAACUAAUUUGAUAUUGGAGAUGUUGCUAAUUUUUUCUAUAAACUUGGUCAAAUCUAAAGAAGUUUGUCUAAGAAAAAAGUUAA